ACGAACGUUGACGGCGUGGAUAGGCAUGCAAGUCGAACGAAGCUGGGGUAGCAAUAUCCCAGACUGAGUGGCGAAAGGGGCAGUAAAGCGUGGGUAACCUACCCCAGGGACUGGGAUAGCCAUCCUAACGGAUGGGUAAUACCGGGCGACGUGGUUGGGGGGCAUCUCUUGACCACCAAAUGAGUUUCGCCCUGGGAGGGGCUCACGUGCUAUUAGCUUGUUGGCGGGGUAACGGCCCACCAAGGCAAAGAUGGCUAGCGGGUGUGAGAGCACGACCCGCGCCACUGGCACUGCGACACUGGCCAGACUCCUACGGGAGGCUGCAGUCGAGGAUCUUCGGCAAUGGGCGCAAGCCUGACCGAGCGACGCCGCGUGUGCGAUGAAGGCCUUCGGGUUGUAAAGCACUGUCGAGGGGGAGGAAGCCGCAAGGUUGACCUAUCCCUGGAGGAAGCACGGGCUAAGUUCGUGCCAGCAGCCGCGGUAAGACGAACCGUGCGAACGUUGUUCGGAAUCACUGGGCUUAAAGGGCGCGUAGGCGGGUUCCCAAGUCCGGGGUGAAAUCUUUCGGCUUAACCGGAAAAUAGCCCUGGAUACUGGGGGUCUCGAGGGAGGUAGGGGCAGCGGGAACUUCCGGUGGAGCGGUGAAAUGCGUUGAUAUCGGAAGGAACGCCGGUGGCGAAAGCGCGCUGCUGGACCUCUGCUGACGCUGAGGCGCGAAAGCCAGGGGAGCAAACGGGAUUAGAUACCCCGGUAGUCCUGGCCCUAAACGAUGGGUACUAGGUAGCGGACUGGACAUGGGUUCGCUGCCGAAGCAAAAGUGCUAAGUACCCCGCCUGGGGAGUAUGGUCGCAAGGCUGAAACUCAAAGGAAUUGACGGGGGCUCACACAAGCGGUGGAGCAUGUGGCUUAAUUCGAGGCUACGCGAAGAACCUUAUCCUGGGCUUGACAUGUGCGAAAGCGUCAGCAAGUAGGGAGCGGAAACGUUUCCCCAACGGUAUCCAGUCCGGAAGCUGAUACAGGUGCUGCAUGGCUGUCGUCAGCUCGUGUCGUGAGAUGUCGGGUUAAGUCCCAUAACGAGCGAAACCCUUGUUUCCAGUUGCCAGCGGGUCAUGCCGGGGACUCUGGAAAGACUGCCGGUGUCAAACCGGAGGAAGGCGGGGAUGACGUCAAGUCCUCAUGGCCUUUAUGCCCAGGGCUGCACACGUACUACAAUGCCCAGUACAGAAAGAGCCGAACCAGCAAUGGCUAGGAAAUCAAUAAAACUGGGCCCAGUUCGGAUUGUGGGCUGCAACUCGCCCGCAUGAAGCUGGAAUCGCUAGUAAUGGCGCAUCAGCUACGGCGCCGCGAUACAUUCCCGGGCAUUGCAC
rnacentral:rRNA from 1 species